rnacentral:tRNA from 1 species
UACACUUUAGUAUAUGUUGUACAUAAGCUUUUGAAGCUUAAAUAAUUAGUUAAAUUCUAAUAAGUGUAG